rnacentral:rRNA from 1 species
GAUGAACGCUGGCGGCGUGCCUAAUACAUGCAAGUCGAGCGAACGGACGAGAAGCUUGCUUUUCUGAUGUUAGCGGCGGACGGGUGAGUAACACGUGGAUAACCUACCUAUAAGACUGGGAUAACUUCGGGAAACCGGAGCUAAUACCGGAUAAUAUUUUGAACCGCAUGGUUCAAAAGUGAAAGACGGUCUUGCUGUCACUUAUAGAUGGAUCCGCGCUGCAUUAGCUAGUUGGUAAGGUAACGGCUUACCAAGGCAACGAUGCAUAGCCGACCUGAGAGGGUGAUCGGCCACACUGGAACUGAGACACGGUCCAGACUCCUACGGGAGGCAGCAGUAGGGAAUCUUCCGCAAUGGGCGAAAGCCUGACGGAGCAACGCCCCGUGAGUGAUGAAGGUCUUCGGAUCGUAAAACUCUGUUAUUAGGGAAGAACAUAUGUGUAAGUAACUGUGCACAUCUUGACGGUACCUAAUCAGAAAGCCACGGCUAACUACGUG